rnacentral:misc_RNA from 1 species
UGAAAGAGAGAGAAUUUCAGUUGACAGAUUGAAUAGUCGAAUCUCCUUGAAAACAGAAUCCAAGGUGGUGAAUAGAGAAGUAAGAAUUUAGGGAUUCUCUAUUUAAGAGUAUUUGACAAAAAAAGAAGGUAGUAAAUGGGUUUUUGAGUGCACAGUUUAGCAGAAAGAGAUUAUUAGGGUGUAUAUAUUUCAAGAGUUUUAUUAG